UCGGGUUUAGAGUUUAGGUUAUAGGGUUUAGAGUUGGGGAGUAGGAUUUUAAGAUAAGAUUUCAAAUUUUGAAAAAUAAAAAAAAUUUAAAUUUUUCAAAAGAUAAAAUGCUAUUUUGGUCAUUUUAGUUUUUGAGGGCUAUUUUUGUGAUAUAAACUUAGAAAGAUGCUAUUUUGGAGAUUUGCCCAUAUUACAUUUACAAAAUAUUUUUAAAUAACAUAAAAUAUAUUUUUGAAGUAAUAAAAUACUUUCUUUAUAGGGCUUUUUGCAGAAUUGACCUAUAACUUAAAGUCAAACACAAAACUAACCUCUUUUUUUUAAAAAAAAAUUGGUUUUGCCCUAUUCACCCCACAAGUUCAUAUAAUUUACGAAAAUGCCAUCAAUUUUUUUUUUCUUUUUUUCUUUCGAAAAUGACAUUUUUACUCUCUCACCCUCAUCAUCUUCAAGUAAUUAUAAGA
rnacentral:lncRNA from 1 species